rnacentral:rRNA from 1 species
UGGGGGAUAUUGCGCAAUGGGGGAAACCCUGACGCAGCAACGCCGCGUGAAGGAUGAAGGUCUUCGGAUCGUAAACUUUUGUCUUUGGGGAAGAAUCAAUGACGGUACCCAAGGAGGAAGCCACGGCUAACUACGUGCCAGCAGCCGCGGUAAUACGUAGGUGGCGAGCGUUGUCCGGAAUUACUGGGUGUAAAGGGCGUGUAGGCGGGAUUCAAAGUCAGAUGUGAAAUACCGGGGCUCAACUCCGGGGCUGCAUUUGAAACUUGAGUUCUUGAGUGCAGGAGAGGAAAGCGGAAUUCCUAGUGUAGCGGUGAAAUGCGUAGAUAUUAGGAGGAACACCAGUGGCGAAGGCGGCUUUCUGGACUGUAACUGACGCUGAGGCGCGAAAGCGUGGGGAGCA